rfam:Triticum aestivum genome assembly, contig: Triticum_aestivum_CS42_TGACv1_scaffold_274419_3DS
UACAUACUUCCUCCGUUCGGAAUUACUCGUCCAAGAAAUGAAUGUAUCUAGAUGUAUUUUAGUUGUAGAUACAUCCAUUUUUGAUACAAGUAAUUCCGAACAGAGGGAGUACUAC